rnacentral:lncRNA from 10 species
ACUGGUCUUCUGUUUCCACUGUCGCCUCGUGUGACACAAACUGCCACCUAUCUCCCAAGGUUCUUUCUUUGUAACAGAACCCUAGUUUUUGGCUGGACUCAUUUCCCCAGUGGUAGAGGCUGCUGGCUGGUCAUGUCAUGAGCCCAGGUCUUCUUCUUGGGCACAACCAGAUGCCAUUUCUCAGCCUCCCUUGCAGUUAUAUGCAGCUGUGUGUUUGAGUUCUGGCCGUUACUUAAUGCAGUUAAGUAACAAGAUCUUGGAAGACAAGUGUUGAAGGUGAAAGAGGCACAAGAUAGAAGAAACCUGGGUCCUUAGAUCCUUGCUUGGAGGAAAACCACCUGCCAAUCCAGAACAUCAUUUUGGACUUCAUGAAAACUUUAGCUCCUGUUGAGACCAACACCUUCCCUGGAGAAUGCAGAGUGAAGGGAUUAGGCCCAUCACAAUUUUCCAUUCAUGAUGUUGGGUCAAGCAAGGCAUCACACAGAAUGAAUAGAAACAGAAACAGCCCCACAUGUGAAGUAGGAGCCAUGCUGGAAUGAACAAGGGCCACGGUAUGGGUGAGUUACACGGUACAGAGCACAGGGGCUGACUGCUUUGUGCUCUUCCAGGUGGGAUCAUUACUUGCCAGCCUUCCAGCUGAUGCCAGUGGCAACAGCACGACAGGCUGAACUGGAUUCUUUAUGACUAUGUAUUCAUUAGGGGGAAAAAGCACUUCCAAUGCAAAUGAUUGAAAUGGAAACAAGAUGUGCACUCUGCUGCCUAAAUGAAAGCUCUACCAGGUAGGCCAUUCAAACUCAAUUAAGAGUAGCAAAACAGGAUCUAUCAGGACAGUGGCUGUAACCCCUGUCACAGAGAAUGGACAGUGAGCGGUCCAAAUGGAUUGGGGGGCAUGAAUGGCACCUGACUUACAGCAGGAGCUCAGCACUUUUACUCUCUUUGCCGCUUCACUGGAACCAGGAGAAAAAGACAUUAGGAUGAAGGAUAAUGUGUGAUACACACAUAAAGAUGAAAGCGAGAGGGACACAUGCAAUGUCACUUAUUGGAAGGACCACUUUAGGCUGCUCUGUCCUCUCUCCCCUGAAAACAUGUUCCACAUUGUUUUAACCAUCUGUGGCCCACUCUGGAGCUCAAGGAACCCUGGCCUUUCUGCUUUAUUGUGAGCACAGCCAUAUGAAACUGCAAUCUGGCAGCUGAAGGGGAAAGUACUUUUACUGUCUCUGCUGAGAAAGGGUUUGGAUGAAUCGAAUCCCCUGUUAUGCGUGAAAUUGUACCCUCUAGAAAGCUCUGUUGAUGACCCAACCCACGGUACCUGUGAAUGUGACCUUAUUUGAAAAUAUGGUCUUAUAAAUGUAAUCAAGCAAAGAUGAGAUGAUACUGAAUUAGGGUGGGCCUCCACCAACAUGACUGGUGUCCUUAUGAGAAGCAAGGAAGAGACAUAAGGAGAACAUGGUGUGACAAUUGAGACAGAGAUUGGAGUGAUGCAUCUACAAGCCAAGAAAUGUCAAGGGCCGUGAGCCACACCAGAAGCUAAGAGAAAGGCAUGGGACUGACCCUCCCCUAGAGCCAUCAGAAAGAGCCUGACCCUGGCGGCACCUUGCUUUUGGACUUCUAGACUCCAGAAUUAUGAGAAUAAAUUUGUGUUG